UACGAAGGGGGCUAGCGUUGCUCGGAAUCACUGGGCGUAAAGCGCACGUAGGCGGAUUCCUAAGUCGGGGGUGAAAUCCUGGAGCUCAACUCCAGAACUGCCUUCGAUACUGGGAAUCUUGAGUCCGGAAGAGGUGAGUGGAACUGCGAGUGUAGAGGUGAAAUUCGUAGAUAUUCGCAAGAACACCAGUGGCGAAGGCGGCUCACUGGCCCGAUACUGACGCUGAGGUGCGAAAGCGUGGGGAGCAAACAGG
rnacentral:rRNA from 1 species